rnacentral:rRNA from 1 species
AAAGGAAUAGACGGGGGCCCGCACAAGCGGCGGAGCAUGUUGCUUAAUUCGACGCAACGCGAAGAACCUUACCAAGGUUUGACAUCACCCGUGGACCUGUAGAGAUACAGGGUCAUUUAGUUGGUGGGUGACAGGUGGUGCAUGGCUGUCGUCAGCUCGUGUCGUGAGAUGUUGGGUUAAGUCCCGCAACGAGCGCAACCCUUGUUCCAUGUUGCCAGCACGUAAUGGUGGGGACUCAUGGGAGACUGCCGGGGUCAACUCGGAGGAAGGUGGGGACGACGUCAAGUCAUCAUGCCCCUUAUGUCUUGGGCUGCAAACAUGCUACAAUGGCCGGUACAAUGGGCGUGCGAUACCGUAAGGUGGAGCGAAUCCCUUAAAGCCGGUCUCAGUUCGGAUUGGGGUCUGCAACUCGACCCCAUGAAGGUGGAGUCGCUAGUAAUCGCGGAUCAGCAACGCCGCGGUGAAUACGUUCCCGGGCCUUGUACACACCGCCCGU